GUCGAGGGGCAGCAUGGUCUUAGCUUGCUAAGGCCGAUGGCGACCGGCGCACGGGUGAGUAACACGUAUCCAACCUGCCGUCUACUCUUGGACAGCCUUCUGAAAGGAAGAUUAAUACAAGAUGGCAUCAUGAGUCCGCAUGUUCACAUGAUUAAAGGUAUUCCGGUAGACGAUGGGGAUGCGUUCCAUUAGAUAGUAGGCGGGGUAACGGCCCACCUAGUCUUCGAUGGAUAGGGGUUCUGAGAGGAAGGUCCCCCACAUUGGAACUGAGACACGGUCCAAACUCCUACGGGAGGCAGCAGUGAGGAAUAUUGGUCAAUGGGCGAGAGCCUGAACCAGCCAAGUAGCGUGAAGGAUGACUGCCCUAUGGGUUGUAAACUUCUUUUAUAAAGGAAUAAAGUCGGGUAUGGAUACCCGUUUGCAUGUACUUUAUGAAUAAGGAUCGGCUAACUCCGUGCCAGCAGCCGCGGUAAUACGGAGGAUCCGAGCGUUAUCCGGAUUUAUUGGGUUUAAAGGGAGCGUAGAUGGAUGUUUAAGUCAGUUGUGAAAGUUUGCGGCUCAACCGUAAAAUUGCAGUUGAUACUGGAUAUCUUGAGUGCAGUUGAGGCAGGCGGAAUUCGUGGUGUAGCGGUGAAAUGCUUAGAUAUCACGAAGAACUCCGAUUGCGAAGGCAGCCUGCUAAGCUGCAACUGACAUUGAGGCUCGAAAGUGUGGGUAUCAAACAGGAUUAGAUACCCUGGUAGUCCACACGGUAAACGAUGAAUACUCGCUGUUUGCGAUAUACUGCAA
rnacentral:rRNA from 1 species